AAUUCGAUGCGACGCGAAGAACCUUACCUGGGCUUGACAUGCAGGGUGAAACCCGUGAAAGCGGGUGCUCCACGGAGCCUGCACAGGUGGUGCAUGGCUGUCGUCAGCUCGUGCCGUGAGGUGUUGCCUUAAGUGGCGCAACGAGCGCAACCCUUGUCCCUAGUUGCCAGCGGAUCAUGCCGGGAACUCUAGGGAGACUGCCGGUGCCAAACCGGAGGAAGGUGGGGAUGACGUCAAGUCAUCAUGCCCCUUAUGUCCAGGGCUGCACGCAUGCUACAAUGCGCGGUACAAAGGGCUGCGAUCCCGUAAGGGGGAGCGAAUCCCAAAAAGCCGCGCUCAGUUCGGAUCGGGGUCUGCAACCCGACCCCGUGAAGUCGGAGUCGCUAGUAAUCGCAGAUCAGCAA
rnacentral:rRNA from 1 species